CGUUCGUUCGUUCGUUCGUUUGUGCGUUCGUACGUUCGUUCGUUCGUCUAUCCGACCAUCCGUUUGUCCAUCAGCCUGUCCGUCUGACUCGGAGCUGCCACUGCUCAGCCUGUGCCGCGCACUCCAAUAUCGACAUCCAACGACCAACAGAAACUACAAGCUACGAAAAGCAACCAUGAACGAGGUUCAACCUGGCAGAUGAACCAAAUUUAAAGCAAGUGAACGUUGCUCGACCGGAAAGAAUUAUAGCUCAAGUUAUGACGCUCGGGUCAAUAAUACCUACCUUAGGGCUAUUUUUAAUAACACGAUCGUGCGCGGUGCUCUUACGCGCUUGUGCUUAUGCCUGUCCAUCGAUUCUUUGCGCUUUAAGAAUUCACGGAAACAUGAAACCAAUAAAGUCUAAUCAUCCGUGAAAGGUGCAAUAGAUUUUUAUUAUCUAUAUCAUCUUGACCAUCGAAAAUAAUUUCAAUGAAGAAGAUAAUUAUUACAUGUCGUGUUGUAUUCCUUAAAUCAUAAAUUGGAUAAUAGAAUUUGAA